CUUAUCUGGUCAUUUAUUUUUUACAGUUGGUGAUCAGAUCGGAUUCGAGGAUCAUCCUCUCUCAUGUGUUACGUAUUAGUGAUGCCUACAUGACGGUGGAAAAUUGAGGCGGCUUGAUGGAUCAUUGGCCUCAUGGCAAAAUUGGGGACGGAGGAGGGAGGAGGCUUCAUAUAAGCAUGACUUCAAAAGCUCAGGGAGAUCAAACCGAAGAAAGACAACACUCAGCGCAACAUGCUCGUGUCGAUGAUAUGGGUGCAGAGGAAGAUUGUGAGGAUGAUCAGUGAGAGCAGGGACG